rnacentral:sRNA from 1 species
GCCAGGCAUGGUGGUGCACGCCUAUAAUCCCUCAUCUUGGGAGGCUGAGGCAGGAGAAUUCUGAGUUCAAAGCCUGUCUCAGCAAAAGCAAGGCACUAAGCAACUCAGUGAGACCCUGUCUCUA